AUAAGUACUCCAGGGAAAAGCAAAGAAGGAGAGGUUAAAUUUGACAGACAUGAAAAUAUCUUUAAUGUGAUAUUUUCUAUGCCCCACAAAAUGACUGAAAUGAAGUGAUUUAUGUAUCUGUUAUUUGCUCUCUUACUGUUGGAUUGCUCAUUCAUGAGGGUGCUGCUCAAAUUACAAUGGAUUCUCUCUUUGAAAUCAUUUGAUGACUCAUUGUGAAAGGCAUCAAAUUCACUCUGCCAAACUUUUUUGUCAUACUGGAAACCAUUGACUGGCCAGGAAAUAUCUUGUGUAUCCUCACUUCUUGAAGGUUAUCAAAGAGAGGACGGAUGGUGUUAGAAGAGAUCAUUUAAUGGCCCUAUAAAUGGAGGACCAAUUUACAUCAUGCACCGAAGAAAACUUGAUUGAGGCACUUAUAAGCAGAGAAAAUCUACAGGAUGAAACAAUUGGUCAAAUCCUGGUCUUCACAUCUGCUUGAGAUGAUUAAUUAGUCGGUUACCUCUGUUUAGAAUUUCAACUCUCUAACUGAUUUUGCUGAGGAAAUGCUCAAAGUGCAAAUUAAGCAUGGAAUUAAGGGCCUGUAAUAAUUAUUGUUCAAUGUAAGAAAUUUAACGGGGACCCUCAUGACAAACAGCAAAUUUGCCUGAGGGAAGAAGUGCUACAUCUUUUGGAUUUUACAAUUUCUUCGUAAUUACAUCUGAUGUAUAUUUCUAUUUCCUACUGGCUCCUUGAAUAGAACAAAUUGUAACAACAGAUUUUGCCACUUACUGAUAAGUUGUGAGAUGAAGAUUUUCAUGUA